rnacentral:rRNA from 1 species
CAGUAGCCGCGGUAAUACGUAGGGUGCGAGCGUUAAUCGGAAUUACUGGGCGUAAGGCGUGCGCAGGCGGUUCGUUAAGACAGAUGUGAAAUCCCCGGGCUUAACCUGGGAACUGCAUUUGUGACUGGCGAGCUAGAGUAUGGCAGAGGGGGGUAGAAUUCCGCGUGUAGCAGUGAAAUGCGUUGAUAUGCGGAGGAACACCGAUGGCGAAGGCAGCCCCCUGGGCCAACACUGACGCUCAUGCACGAAAGCGUGGGGAGCAAACAGGAUUAGAUACCCCAGUAGUCCCUGUCUCUUAUAA